rnacentral:rRNA from 1 species
UACGGAGGGUGCAAGCGUUAUCCGGAUUUACUGGGUUUAAAGGGUGUGUAGGCGGGUCUUUAAGGCAGUGGUGAAAUCUCCGAGCUCAACUUGGAAACUGCCAUUGAUACUAUUGAUCUUGAAUUCUGUUGAGGUUGGCGGAAUAAGUCAUGUAGCGGUGAAAUGCAUAGAUAUGACUUAGAACACCGAUUGCGAAGGCAGCUAACUAAGCAGAUAUUGACGCUGAGGCACGAAAGCGUGGGGAGCAAACAGG